GUUGCUGAAUAUCAGGAACAUUCACUCAAAACUGUAUCCAGACCAGAAAGGAAUCCUCAAAAAAAGAGGUAUUGAGGCUCCCUAGGAUUCCCUUGUGCUCUUGUGAAGUCUUGGGAGUUGUGGGACAGGAGGAAGAGCCUUUAAUUGCCAAACAUUGCCCCUGGAUCUCCAGUGCUGGGAUCAGGACUGCUGAUGGUGAUCUGGCAGCAAUUUUUGAAGAUUGCAGACUUCCUCAAAAUGCACCACAUUCAGGCUCCCAAAGGGUUCCCCAGUAUAAAAGGUAAAUGUAUCUAUGAAGCUGCCUAGAGCCCAAGACUUCCAGGAUCCCUGCCUAGAGGAGGACAAGGUAGAAGCCA